rnacentral:lncRNA from 1 species
GUCGUGGUGUUGUUUGAAAAAAAAAUCAUGUUUUGAAAUAAAAUAAAAGUUUAACAAUGGUUUCUUUAAAUGCAAAAAGCAGUUAAAAAUAUUUUUCAAGGUUUGAUCGUUUCAGCAUAGGAUCGUCACUCCUAUAUUGAAACUCCUUUGAACACGAAUUGGGUGACGAGUCCAAGUCAUGAUCGAAAGGGGUCGAAAGAAAUGCCAAAAGUUUGGUACGACUGUACCCG